UUUUUAAUCCUUUCGUACUAAAAAAUUUUAUUUAUUUAAAGAUAGAAACCAACCUGGCUUAAACCGGUUUAAACUCAGAUCAUGUAAGAUUUUAAAGGUCGAACAGACCUAAUUUAUUAGCUACUUCACCAAUAAUUAAUCUUAAUCCAACAUCGAGGUCGCAAUCACUUUUUUAAAUAAGAACUCCAAAAAAAUAUUACGCUGUUAUCCCUAAGGUAAUUUUUUCUAUUAAUCAUAAAAAUGGAUCAAAAAUUCAUAUAUUAAUGUAUAAAUAAUAAAAAAGUUAAUUAAAUUUUUCAGUCACCCCAACAAAAUAUAAAAUAAAUUAUAUUUAAAUACCAAAUUAAAAUUAAUAUAAUUUAUAUAAAACUCUAUAGGGUCUUCUCGUCCCUUAAAAAAAUUUAAGCUUUUUUACUUAAAAAUAAAAUUCAAAAAAAUUGAAAAAGAGACAGAUGAUUUUUCAUCAAACCCUUCAUUCCAGCUUCUAAUUAAGAAACUAAUGAUUAUGCUACCUUAGCACAGUUAAAAUACUGCGGCCAUUUAAAUUAUCAGUGGGCAGGUCAGACCUAAAAUUAUAAUCAAUAGGACAUGUUUUUAUUAAACAGGUGAAAAUCCAUUUGCCGAAUUAAUUUUAUUCACAUUAAAAUUAUAAUUAUUAAUAAAAUUUAUUUUACUAAUUCCAUCAUAAUUACAAAAAAAAUUAAAUUAAAUUUUUCAAUCUAGUAAAAAAAUAUAUAUAUAAAUAAAAAUUAUAAAAAUUGAAAUUAUUAUUAAAUAAACUCAUUAAUGGAAAAUCCUAUUCCUUUAAAUUCAAUAAAAAUAAAAUAUAAUAAAUUUAUUAUUUAAAGCUUUUCCCUUAAACAAUUCAAUAUUAAUAAAUAUAAAUCUAAAUUAAUUUUAAAUUUUUAACAUUGUAAAUUAAAUUUAUUUCCUAGAUAAUUAGAUAUAUUUAUAAUCGAAUAGCAUUUCACUUCUAAUUUUAUAUUAUAAAUAAUUAUUUAACAUUAAAAUUUAUAUAAAAUUAAAUCUUAUAAAUUCGAAAAACUAUUAUUUAAAAACAUUUUAAUAAACCCUGAUACACAAGGUACAAAAAAUAAAUUUUUCUUAUAAAUAUUUAAAAUAAGUAUUUCACAAUAAAAAUAAUCUAUAAUAAAGUUAAUUUUUUCAAAUUUUUAAUAAAAACCUUAUAUUUAAGUAAAAAUAAAAAUAAAUUUAUAAUAAUAAUAAUAUUCUUUAUUCAAAUUAGG
rnacentral:rRNA from 1 species